rnacentral:rRNA from 1 species
UACGGGGGGGCAAGCGUUGUUCGGAAUUACUGGGCGUAAAGGGCUCGUAGGCGGCCAACUAAGUCAGACGUGAAAUCCCUCGGCUUAACCGGGGAACUGCAUCUGAUACUGGAUGGCUUGAGUUCGGGAGAGGGAUGCGGAAUUCCAGGUGUAGCGGUGAAAUGCGUAGAUAUCUGGAGGAACACCGGUGGCGAAGGCGGCAUCCUGGACCGACACUGACGCUGAGGAGCGAAAGCGUGGGGAGCGAACAGG